rnacentral:rRNA from 1 species
AGAAUCAACGCUGGCGGCGUGCCUAACACAUGCAAGUCGCACGAGAAAGGGGAGCAAUCCCUGAGUACAGUGGCGCACGGGUGAGUAACACGUGAAUAAUCUACCUCCGAGUGGGGAAUAAACUGAGAGAAAUCUUAGCUAAUACCGCAUAACACUUAAGAGUCAAAGCAGCAAUGCGCUUGGAGAGGAGUUCGCGGCCGAUUAGUUAGUUGGCGGGGUAAUGGCCCACCAAGACGAUGAUCGGUAUCCGGCCUGAGAGGGCGCACGGACACACUGGAACUGAAACACGGUCCAGACUCCUACGGGAGGCAGCAGUGGGGAAUUUUGCGCAAUGGGGGAAACCCUGACGCAGCAACGCCGCGUGGAGGAUGAAGCCCCUUGGGGUCGUAAACUCCUUUCGAUCGGGAAGAUAAUGACGGUACCGAUAUAAGAAGCCCGGCUAACUUCGCGCCAGCAGCCGC